rnacentral:rRNA from 1 species
GAUGAACGCUGGCGGCGUGCCUAAUACAUGCAAGUCGAACGCACAGCGAAAGGUGCUUGCACCUUUCAAGUGAGUGGCGAACGGGUGAGUAACACGUGGACAACCUGCCUCAAGGCUGGGGAUAACAUUUGGAAACAGAUGCUAAUACCGAAUAAAACUUAGUGUCGCAUGACACAAAGUUAAAAGGCGCUUCGGCGUCACCUAGAGAUGGAUCCGCGGUGCAUUAGUUAGUUGGUGGGGUAAAGGCCUACCAAGACAAUGAUGCAUAGCCGAGUUGAGAGACUGAUCGGCCACAUGGGGACUGAGACACGGCCCAAACUCCUACGGGAGGCUGCAGUAGGGAAUCUUCCACAAUGGGCGAAAGCCUGAUGGAGCAACGCCGCGUGUGUGAUGAAGGCUUUCGGGUCGUAAAGCACUGUUGUAUGGGAAGAACAGCUAGAAUAGGAAAUGAUUUUAGUUUGACGGUACCAUACCAGAAAGGGACGGCUAAAUACGUG